rnacentral:rRNA from 1 species
UACGGGUGAGUAACACGUGGAUGAUCUACCUUUAGUGGGAAGUACCGCUGGGAACCGGUGACAAUACCGCAUAAGCUCGAGAGAGGAAAGCCGCAAGGCGCUGAAAGAGGAGUCCGCGGCCGAUUAGCUAGUUGGUAGGGUAAUGGCCUACCAAGGCUUUGAUCGGUAGCCGGCCUGAGAGGGCACACGGCCACACUGGCGCUGAAACACGGGCCAG